AUUAAUUCAUUGAAAAGAAGAGUACUUUUAGAGUUCCUUUAAAGAGAGCAGGGACGGUGAAAGCCUGUAUUGAUAUCUAAAAUGGAAGAGAGUCUUUGAGAAGCUUGUUUUGAAAUCACAAUGAAAAAACAAGACGUUAACUGCGUUAAAGUAUGAGUGGAUAAGGUAGUGAUACCUAUCAAUUAGAGUGGUACCGCGGAUAUAACCCGUCUCUUUU
rnacentral:ncRNA from 1 species